UACGUAGGGCGCAAGCGUUGUCCGGAAUUAUUGGGCGUAAAGAGCUCGUAGGCGGCUUGUCACGUCGAUUGUGAAAGCCCGAGGCUUAACCUCGGGUCUGCAGUCGAUACGGGCUAGCUAGAGUGUGGUAGGGGAGAUCGGAAUUCCUGGUGUAGCGGUGAAAUGCGCAGAUAUCAGGAGGAACACCGGUGGCGAAGGCGGAUCUCUGGGCCAUUACUGACGCUGAGAAGCGAAAGCAUGGGGAGCGAACAGG
rnacentral:rRNA from 1 species